GACAGAGGGUGCAAACGUUGUUCGGAAUUACUGGGCGUAAAGCGCGUGUAGGCGGCCCUGCAAGUCGGAUGUGAAAUCCCACGGCUCAACCGUGGAAGUGCAUUCGAAACUGCAGGGCUAGAGUCCUGGAGAGGAAGGUGGAAUGCUUGGUGUAGAGGUGAAAUUCGUAGAUAUCAAGCGGAACACCGGUGGCGAAGGCGGCCUUCUGGACAGUGACUGACGCUGAGGCGCGAAAGCUAGGGGAGCAAACAGGG
rnacentral:rRNA from 1 species